rnacentral:lncRNA from 1 species
AUACAUCAGGGGCUAUUUCUUUAUUAUUAUAAUUUUUUGGGCAAUUUGAGAACCGGGGCUAUUCAUAAAAGACCCGGGGCUAUAGCCCUGGACGCCCAGGACUAACGACGCCACUGCUGUAUCGCAUUGUAUCGCAUUGUAGCCGAUUGCCAUUAUUAUUGUAUUGAUGUAUAGCCUACUGAGCUCACUUGCUCCGUAGCCCGUUCCCAGAUUGCAAAAAAUAUCCGCACGGCUUCUUUUUGCCGCCGGCCCUAAGCUGUCAGCUAUUGGAGCGUCCUGCUGGCGGGGAUGAAACGUUUGCCGCCGAAUACGUCACUCCCAUUUCUUGCGAGAUGCCGGCGGUCUGACUGCCUCAUUUUCUCUGGCGGUUGCCUCGAUCUAAUGGACCGCGGUGGUGCGGUAUUUAAAAGACGCUUUUAAAUACAAGGCUACUCUCAAAAUCGACCGGCCAUGUUGGUUUGGACACACAUUCGCAUCAGUUCGUCGCUCAAUCGCGAGUUACAGCCUGCAGCCUGCUAGCUAGCAAAGACAUCGACUACCAUUGUUUAAAUACCUUGGCCAGAGCAUAACCGGUUAUCUUCACCCAAGAGACCUACUGUUGGUCAAUCGUUUUGGCUUUAAAGAAGUUGCAUCGAUUCCAGAAAACCAGGAAAAUGUUGAGCCAUCUGUAGACUUCAGAGCUGAACCAGGUUUCUCCCCAGUAAUCCAGACUCCACUUCACAGAGCCAAGAGUUUGAGAACAAGGCACUUGACUUUCUGGAUAAAAGGUGUCGAGGUAUGUUGUACAUAUCAUUAG